GAUUGCUGCAAUAGAACGUUGACAGCACCACUCGAUGGAUCACUUAAUACUGAGGUUAAGCAACGUUGUGCGUGUUUGGUAUCCGGAUGGGUGACCAUCUGGGCAAUCCCGUGCAGCCCGUG
rnacentral:rRNA from 1 species